UACAGAGGUCUCAAGCGUUGUUCGGAAUCACUGGGCGUAAAGGGUGCGUAGGUGGCGUGGCAAGUCAGAUGUGAAAGCCCGGGGCUCAACCUCGGAACAGCAUCCGAUACUGCCAUGCUAGAGUACUGAAGAGGUGACUAGAAUUCUCGGUGUAGCAGUGAAAUGCGUAGAUAUCGAGAGGAAUACCAACGGCGAAGGCAGGUCACUGGGCAGUUACUGACACUGAGGCACGAAGGCCAGGGGAGCAAACGGG
rnacentral:rRNA from 1 species